rnacentral:tRNA from 1 species
GCUCCCGUAGCUUAACGGAUAGAGUACAUGGCUUCGAACCAUGUGGUAGGGGUUCAAUUCCUCUCGGGAGCA